rnacentral:rRNA from 1 species
GACGAACCGUGCGAACGUUGUUCGGAUUCACUGGGCUUAAAGGGCGCGUAGGCGGCGACCAAGUCGGGGGUGAAAUCUUUCGGCCCAACCGGAAAAGUGCCCCCGAUACUGGCCGCCUCGAGGGGGGUAGGGGCAUGCGGAACUUCCGGUGGAGCGGUGAAAUGCGUAGAUAUCGGAAGGAACGCCGGUGGCGAAAGCGGCGUGCUGGACCCCUUCUGACGCUGAGGCGCGAAAGCCAGGGAGCAAAGCGGG